UACGAGGGACCUAGCGUUGUUCGGAAUCAUUGGGCGUAAAGGGUGUGUAGGCGGCCAAGUAAGUCAGUUGUGAAAGCCCCGGGCUCAACCCGGGAAGUGCUUCUGAUACUGCUUGGCUUGAGUAUUGGAGAGGUGAGUGGAAUUCCAGGUGUAGUGGUGAAAUACGUAGAUAUCUGGAGGAACACCGGCGGCGAAGGCGGCUCACUGGCCAUAUACUGACGCUGAAACACGAAAGCGUGGGGAUCAAACAGG
rnacentral:rRNA from 1 species